GGCUAUGGGCAAUGGCUAUAUUAUAAGAAAAAAAUUCUACAGGAAAAAUAAAAUUUUAACAAUGUUGCAUACUAUUAAAUAGCAAAACAAAAAGACUUAAAAUCAAGUCUAAAACUAUUCUCGACGAGGUUGAACGGUUCGAAGAAUUUAGACUCGAUUAAAAUGAAAAUUGGUGAAGCUGCAAUUUUGGUUUUCUCCCCAAAAGCUAUUACUUUUAAAUUUUGCAAACCCAACAGUCAAAACAAUACAAUUAGUUAAUCAUUCUUACCAUAAGAAUAUGAAUUUGAAUUGUAAAAUUUUAAUGCAAAAUUUCUUAGUGAACAAGUGAAUAAGUUGUA
rnacentral:lncRNA from 1 species